rnacentral:rRNA from 1 species
CGCUGGCGGCGUGCUUAACACAUGCAAGUCGAACGGAAAGGCCCAGCUUGCUGGGUACUCGAGUGGCGAACGGGUGAGUAACACGUGGGUGAUCUGCCCUGCACUCUGGGAUAAGCCUGGGAAACUGGGUCUAAUACCGGAUAUGACCAACUGUCGCAUGGUGGUUGGUGGAAAGCUUUUGCGGUGUGGGAUGGGCCCGCGGCCUAUCAGCUUGUUGGUGGGGUAAUGGCCUACCAAGGCGACGACGGGUAGCCGACCUGAGAGGGUGAUCGGCCACACUGGGACUGAGACACGGCCCAGACUCCUACGGGAGGCAGCAGUGGGGAAUAUUGCACAAUGGGCGCAAGCCUGAUGCAGCGACGCCGCGUGAGGGAUGACGGCCUUCGGGUUGUAAACCUCUUUCACCAGGGACGAAGCGUGAGUGACGGUACCUGGAGAAGAAGCACCGGCCAACUACGUG